rnacentral:rRNA from 1 species
UACAGGGGGUGCAAACGUUGCUCGGAAUCAUUGGGCGUAAAGCGCACGUAGGCGGUUCGUUAUGUCGGAUGUGAAAGCCCUUGGCUUAACCGAGGAAGUGCAUCCGAAACUGGCGAGCUAGAGUACUAAAGAGGAUCGCGGAAUUCCCGGUGUAGAGGUGAAAUUCGUAGAUAUCGGGAGGAACACCGGUGGCGAAGGCAGCCCCCUGGGCUGAGAUUGACGCUCAGGCACGAAAGCGUGGGGAGCAAACAGG